rnacentral:rRNA from 1 species
GGACUACUGGGGUAUCUAAUCCCGUUCGCUCCCCUAGCUUUCGCCCCUGAGCGUCAGGUGCCAGCCAGGACACUGCCUGCGCCUUCGGUGUUCCUCCGGAUAUCUACGCAUUUCACCACUACACCCGGAAUUCCGUGUCCCUCUCUGGUCCUCAAGUCGACCCGUUUUUGAGACGCUCUCCCAGUUAAGCCGGGAGCUGUCACCUCAAACGCGACCGACCGCCUGCGGGCGCUUUACGCCCAGUAACUCCGGACAACGCUCGCCCCCUACGUAUUACCGCGGCUGCUGGCAC